AACGAACGCUGGCGGCAGGCUUAACACAUGCAAGUCGAACGCCCCGCAAGGGGAGUGGCAGACGGGUGAGUAACACGUGGGAACAUGCCCAAAGGUACGGAAUAUUCUCGGGAAACUGGGAGCAAUACCGUAUGUGCCCGAAAGGGGAAAGAUUUAUCGCCUUUGGAUUGGCCCGCGUUGGAUUAGCUAGUUGGUGGGGUAAAAGCCUACCAAGGCGACGAUCCAUAGCUGGCCUGAGAGGACGACCAGCCACACUGGGACUGGGACACGGCCCAGACUCCUACGGGAGGCAGCAGUGGGGAAUCUUGGACAAUGGGCGCAAGCCUGAUCCAGCCAUGCCGCGUGAGUGAUGAAGGCCCUAGGGUUGUAAAACUCUUUCGUGGGGGACGAUAAUGACGGUACCCCAAGAAGAAGCUCCGGCUAACUUCGUGCCAGCCGCCGCGGUAAGAC
rnacentral:rRNA from 1 species